rnacentral:rRNA from 1 species
UACAGAGGUCCCGAGCGUUGUUCGGAUUCACUGGGCGUAAAGGGUGCGUAGGUGGUGAGGUAAGUCGGAUGUGAAAUCUCCGGGCUCAACCCGGAAACUGCAUUGGAAACUACCUUGCUUGAGGAUUUGAGGGGGGAUUGGAAUACUUGGUGUAGCAGUGAAAUGCGUAGAUAUCAAGUGGAACACCAGUGGCGAAGGCGAAUCCCUGGAAAAUACCUGACACUGAGGCACGAAAGCUAGGGGAGCAAACAGG